GAGGGUCUAGCUCAGGAGUGGAGUGCGUGCUUAGCAUGCAUGAGGUCCUGGGUUCAAUCCCCAGUACUUCUG
rnacentral:tRNA from 1 species